rnacentral:lncRNA from 1 species
UAAUCAGAUCACCGAUUGUCUCGAGCAUAGUUAGCUAAGGACUUGAACUAUUAUUUAUAUUAACUAAUAUUUAUAUUAUUUAAAUAAUUAAAAUUUAAUUUAUCUAAUUAAUAUAUUAACUUAAAAUAUAAAUAAUUAAUUAAUAUUAACAUAUUGACUAAUUUUUAAUAUUUAUUUACUAGUUAACGCCAUCUUUAUCAUCUCAUAUAGUAAUUUUAAUUAAUUUAUUUAUUAACUUAUUAAAAUAUUAUUUUACUAAUACUUAGAUACUUAUUAUUUAUAUAAAUUAUAUCAUAAUUACUCUUAUUUUUAGCAUUCCAACUCAAUCAUCCAAACGUAAUUUUUCUUAUUCCUCUAAAUACCUCGAUUCUCGUACAAAUACAAAAUUGAACUAAUACCUCUAGAGCCCAGAAAUAAAAGGAAGCAUAAAUAUAAAACCAUAGUUCUGUACAGACUUACUAUUUUAGGUAUCGUUUGGUUCGGGAAUAAACAAAAAGUGGCUAUUUCAGGGAUAGGUAUAAAUUGAAGUAUAAGCGGGGAUUAGAUCAAUUUUGCGUUUGGAUGAUAAUUGGUUUAUUCUUGGGAUUAAAAAAAAUAGCGUUUGGUUAGAUACGAUAGAAUAAGGAAGAUAGUGGAUUUUUAUAAAUAAAAAAUAAUCAUAUUAUCCUCUUAUUAUAUUUAAAUUUAAAUUUUUAAAUUUCAAACUUUAAAUUUAAGAUGAAAUUUAAAUUUAAUAAAUAUAAAAUAUCAAAUUUUAAAUUUCAAAAUUAAAAUAUCAAAAUUAAAAUUUAUAAUUUAUAAUUUAUAAUUUAAAAUUAUAAACUUUAAUUUUGAGAUUAUAAAUUAUAAAUUUUAAAAAUUUAAAAUUUUAAUUUUUAAAUUUUUAAAAUAAGAAU